rnacentral:rRNA from 1 species
AGCGUUGCUCGGAAUCACUGGGCGUAAAGCGCACGUAGGCGGAUUGUUAAGUCAGGGGUGAAAUCCUGGAGCUCAACUCCAGAACUGCCUUUGAUACUGGCGAUCUUGAGUCCGGGAGAGGUGAGUGGAACUGCGAGUGUAG